rnacentral:rRNA from 1 species
GGGUUGUGAGGUUAAGCGACUAAGCGUACACGGUGGAUGCCCUGGCAGUCAGAGGCGAUGAAGGGCGUGCUAAUCUGCGAUAAGCGCCGGUAAGGUGAUAUGAACCGUUAUAACCGGCGAUACCCGAAUGGGGAAACCCAGUGUGAUUCGUCACACUAUCAUUAACUGAAUCCAUAGGUUAAUGAGGCGAACCGGGGGAACUGAAACAUCUAAGUACCCCGAGGAAAAGAAAUCAACCGAGAUUCCCCCAGUAGCGGCGAGCGAACGGGGAGGAGCCCAGAGCCUGAAUCAGCAUGUGUGUUAGUGGAAGCGUCUGGAAAGGCGCGCGAUACAGGGUGACAGCCCCGUACACAAAAGCGCAUGUGCUGUGAGCUCGAUGAGUAGGGCGGGACACGUGGUAUCCUGUCUGAAUAUGGGGGGACCAUCCUCCAAGGCUAAAUACUCCUGACUGACCGAUAGUGAACCAGUACCGUGAGGGAAAGGCGAAAAGAACCCCGGCGAGGGGAGUGAAAAAGAACCUGAAACCGUGUACGUACAAGCAGUGGGAGCACCCUUUUGGGUGUGACUGCGUACCUUUUGUAUAAUGGGUCAGCGACUUAUAUUCUGUAGCAAGGUUAACCGCAUAGGGGAGCCGGAGGGAAACCGAGUCUUAAUUGGGCGUUAAGUUGCAGGGUAUAGACCCGAAACCCGGUGAUCUAGCCAUGGGCAGGUUGAAGGUUGGGUAACACUAACUGGAGGACCGAACCGAC